rnacentral:rRNA from 1 species
GAUCAUGGCUCAGGAUGAACGCUGGCGGCGUGCUUAACACAUGCAAGUCGAAACGAAGCACUUUAAUUGAUUUCUUCGGAAUGAAGUUUUUUGUGACUGAGUGGCGGACGGGGUGAGUAACGCGUGGGUAACCUGCCUCAUACAGGGGGAUAACAGUUGGAAACGACUGCUAAUACCGCAUAAGCGCACAGGAUUGCAUGAUCCAGUGUGAAAAACUCCGGUGGUAUGAGAUGGACCCG